rnacentral:rRNA from 1 species
ACCCGCUGAAUUUAAGCAUAUCAGUAAGCGGAGGAAAAGAAACUAACAAGGAUUGCCUCAGUAGCGGCGAGUGAAGAGGCAACAGCCCAAGAUGUUAAUCUGAGCCUCAUGGCAAAGAAUUGUAAUCUAUAGGGAUUCCCGGAAGGAGUCAUUGAGCCAUAAGUCCUUUGGAAAAGGGUACCAUAGAGGGUGAUAGUCCCGUCUUUGGGUUCAAUGGCCUGUACGGGGGUUUUCUAAGAGUCGGGUAGUUUGGGAAUGCUGCCCUAAUUAGGAGAUAAACUUCUUCUAAGGCUAAAUAUUUAUGGGAGACCGAUAGCAUACAAGUACUGCGAAGGAAAGAUGAAAAGAACUUUGAAUAAGAGGGUUAAAAGACUUGAAAUCGUUGAAAAGGAAGCGGUAGAAGAGUAAUUAAGACUCUGUAAAAUUCGUCGCGUGUCUAAGCUUGAGGAGGUGGAGUAUCUAACAGAGCUUGCUUUUUCAUGUAAAAACACACGGCCGUUUGCUAAGUCUGGGCAAGAUGAGAUCGUUCUGGAAGAAUAAGGCUGAAAGAGAUUCUUAGGCCAAAAGUUUCAGAGCGGUCUGAGGGAUCUUAGGAUGAUCUUGCCAAAAUGGCUUCUACCGACCCGUCUUGAAACACGGACCAAGGAGUCUACCUAUUAUGCGAGUGUGAGGGUGUUAAAACCCGAACGCGUACCGAAAGGGAGUAUAAGAUGUGAAGUGUCAAAGCUGCAACAUCGACCAUCUCUGAUCCUCUGGAGAAGGGUAUGAGUAAGAGCAUAAUCGGUAGGACCCGAAAGAUGGUGAACUACACUUGAGUAGGGUGAAGCCAGGGGAAACUCUGGUGGAGGCUCGCAGCGUUACUGACGUGCAAAUCGUUCGUCAAACUUGCGUGUAGGGGCGAAAGACUAAUCGAACUAUCUAGUAGCUGGUUCCCUCUGAAAUUUCUCUCAGGAAAGCUGGAACAGUUUAUGCAGUUUUAUCAGGUAAAGCUAAUGAUUAGUGGAAUCGGGGUCCUGUGGGCCUCGACCAAUUCUCAAACUUUAAAUUGGUAAGAACUCCGAGUUAUCUUAAUUGAACAAGGAGAAUCAAUGCAUUGUUCUUAGUGGGCCAUUUUUGGUAAGCAGAACUGGCGAUGGGGGAUGAACCUAACGCUGAGAUAAGGUGCCAAAAUUCACGCUCAUGAGAUCCCAUAAAAGGUGUUAGUUAAUAUAGACAGAUGGACUAUGGUCAUGGAAGUCGACAUUAGCUAAGGAGUGUGUAACAACUCACCAGCCGAAUUAACUAGCCCUGAAAAUUGAUGGCGCUGCAGCGUGAUACCGAUACUCAGCCAUCAUGGCAAACAGAAGCUAUGAUGAGUAAGAGGGCGUGAGCACUGUACAGAAGGCUUGGGUGUGAACCUGGUUGGAACAGUGCUUAGUGCAGAUCUUGGUGGUAGUAGCAAAUAUUCAAAUGAGAACUUUGAAGGCCGAAGUGGAGAAGGGUUCCAUGAGAACAGCAUUUGAUCAUGGGUUACUCGUUCCUAAGACAUAGGGAAAUUCCUUGUAAAACACGUGUUCUUACGAACACGAGGUCGAAAGGGAAUGAGGUUAAUAUUCCUCAAGUAGAAUGCGGAUGUUAUGUGGCAACACAAAUGAGCUUGGAGACAUCGGUGUGUACCCCUGGAAGAGUUCUCUUUUCUUCUUAACAGUCUAUCUCCCUGAAUGAAUUAUUCAGAGAUAGGGACGUAUGACUGGCAGAGCAGCUCACCUUCGGGCUGUCAGGUGUGUUCACAACGAUCCUUGAAAAUCCAAGGGAGAUAUCAUAUCGCGUCUAGACGUACCCAUAACCGCAUCAGGUCUCCAAGGUU